rnacentral:rRNA from 1 species
AUCUACGGCCAUGCCACCCUGAGCAAACCUGAUCUCGUCUAAUCUCGGAAGUUAAGCAGGGUUGGGCCUGGUUAGUACUUGGAUGGGAGACCACCUAAGAAGACCAGGUGCUAUAGGUG